AUCUUUCUAGUAUUAAAAUAGUAUAAAUGACUUCCAAUUAUUUGGUCUUGGUUAAAAUCCAAGGAAAGAUA
rnacentral:tRNA from 1 species